UGGGGAAUAUUGCGCAAUGGGGGAAACCCUGACGCAGCAACGCCGCGUGAAGGAUGAAGGUCUUCGGAUUGUAAACUUCUUUGAUGAGGGAAGAAUAAUGACGGUACCUCAAAAACAAGCCACGGCUAACUACGUGCCAGCAGCCGCGGUAAUACGUAGGUGGCGAGCGUUGUCCGGAAUUACUGGGUGUAAAGGGCGUGUAGGCGGGAUUGCAAGUCAAAUGUGAAAUUCCAGAGCUUAACUCUGGCGCUGCAUCUGAAACUGUAAUUCUUGAGUGAUGGAGAGGAAAGUGGUAUUCCUAGUGUAGCGGUGAAAUGCGUAGAUAUUAGGAGGAACACCAGUGGCGAAGGCGACUUUCUGGACAUUAACUGACGCUGAGGCGCGAAAGCGUGGGGAGCAAACA
rnacentral:rRNA from 1 species